UUGUUUCGAUUUACUCGUAAACUCCGACGCAGAGAUGCAGUGUUUUUUUGGUGGUCCUCCGGGGGCGCCCGGCAGGGUCGCCCCCGAAGCAACGGGAUGUGUUCACAAAGGGUUGGAGGUCGGACCCGGAGGCCCUCGCUCGGUAAUGAUCCCUCCGCAGGUUCACCUACGGAGA
rnacentral:misc_RNA from 1 species